rnacentral:rRNA from 1 species
AGAGUUUGAUCCUGGCUCAGGAUGAACGCUGGCGGUGUGCCUAACACAUGCAAGUCGAACGAGAUAGCAAUAUCUAGUGGCGAACGGGUGAGUAAUACACAGGAAUUUGCCCCGAACUAGGAAAUACCCAGCCGAAAGGUUGGCUAAUGUCCUAUGGUCUCGCAAGAGUAAAGAUUUAUCGGUUCGGGAGAAGCCUGUGUCCUAUCAGCUAGUUGGUGAGGUAAAAGCUUACCAAGGCGUCGACGGGUAGCUGGUCUGAGAGGAUGGUCAGCCACAAUGGGACUGAAACACGGCCCAUACUCCUACGGGAGGCAGCAGUUGGGAAUCGUACACAAUGGGCGCAAGCCUGAUGUCGCGACACCGCGUGGAGGAUGAAGGCUUUCGGGUCGUAAACUCCUUUUAUAGGGGACGAUGAUGACGGUACCCUAUGAAUAAGCGACGGCUAACUACGUGCCAGCAGCCGCGGUAAUACGUAGGUCGCAAGCGUUAUCCGGAAUUAUUGGGCGUAAAGAAUGCGUAGGUGGUUUGAAAAGUUGCCCGUUAAAUCUUCAGGCUCAACCUGAUUCUCGCGGGCAAGACUUUCAAGCUAGAGUAUAACAGGGGCAAGUGGAAUUCCCGGUGUAGGAGUGAAAUCCGUUGAUAUCGGGAGGAACACCAAUGGCGAAGGCAGCUUGCUAGGUUAAUCUGACACUGAGGCAUGAAAGCGUGGGGAGCGAACGGGAUUAGAUACCCCGGUAGUCCACGCCGUAAACGAUGCAUACUAGCUAUCAGAAGUAUCGACCCUUCUUGUAGCGAAACUAACGCGUUAAGUAUGCCGCCUGGGAAGUACGGUCGCAAGACUAAAACUCAAAGGAAUUGACGGGGGAUCGCACAAGCGGUGGAACAUGAGGUUUAAUUCGACGAUAAGCGGAGAACCUUACCAGGGCUUGACAUCUAGGGAAUCCGCUGGAAACAGUGGAGUGCCGCAAGGAACCCUAAGACAGGUGUUGCACGGUUGUCGUCAGCUCGUGCUGUGAGGUGUGCGGUUAAGUCCGUAAACGAGCGCAACCCUUACUAUGUGUUAUAUAUGUCACAUAGGACUGCCGGUCUUAAACCGGAGGAAGGUGGGGAUGACGUCAAAUCAGCGUGGCCCUUACGCCCUGGGCUACACUCGUGUUACAAUGGCACAGACAAUGGGUUGCUAAGCCGUGAGGCGGAGCCAAUCCCACCAAAAUGUGCCCCAGUUCGGAUUGUAGUCUGAAACUCGACUACAUGAAGCCGGAAUCGCUAGUAACCGUGGAUCAGCUACGCCACGGUGAAUACGUUCUCGAUCCUUGUACACACCGCCCGUCAAGCCAGCCGAGUUGGCAACGCCAGAAGUACGACUUGUCGAACCAAGGUGGGGUCAGCGAGGAGGGCUAAGUCGUAACAAGGUA